CGGGUUUGACAUAUACCGGAAAGCCGUAGAGAUACGGCCCCCCUUGUGGUCGGUAUACAGGUGGUGCAUGGCUGUCGUCAGCUCGUGUCGUGAGAUGUUGGGUUAAGUCCCGCAACGAGCGCAACCCUCGCCCUUAGUUGCCACCAUUUAGUUGGGCACUCUAGGGGGACUGCCGGCGUUAAGCCGGAGGAAGGUGGGGAUGACGUCGUGGAAGCAAGCU
rnacentral:misc_RNA from 1 species